rnacentral:rRNA from 1 species
UACAGAGGGGGCAAGCGUUGUUCGGAAUUACUGGGCGUAAAGGGCUCGUAGGCGGUUUGUUGCGUCGGCUGUGAAAUCCCGAGGCUCAACCUCGGGUCUGCAGUCGAUACGAGCAAACUAGAGUGUUGCAGGGGAGACUGGAAUUCCUGGUGUAGCGGUGAAAUGCGCAGAUAUCAGGAGGAACACCGGUGGCGAAGGCGGGUCUCUGGGCAACAACUGACGCUGGAGGAGCGAAAGCGUGGGAGCGAACAGG